rnacentral:rRNA from 1 species
UUUGACCUACGGGACGCAGCAGUGAGGAAUAUUGGUCAAUGGGCGGGAGCCUGAACCAGCCACGUCGCGUGAGGGAAGACGGUCCUAUGGAUUGUAAACCUCUUUAGGCGGGGAGCAAUGCCGGGCACGCGUGCCCGGAGGGAGAGUACCCGCAGAAUAAGCAUCGGCUAACUCCGUGCCAGCAGCCGCGGUAAUACGUAGGGGGCAAGCGUUAUCCGGAUUUACUGGGUGUAAAGGGGGCGCAGACGGCAAUGCAAGCCAG